GACGAACCGUGCGAACGUUAUUCGGAAUCACUGGGCUUAAAGCGCGUGUAGGCGGGACGGCACGUCGGUCGUUGAAAUCCCCCGGCUCAACCGGGGAACCGGCGCCGAUACGACCGUCCUGGAGGGACGUAGGGGGACCUGGAACUUCCGGUGGAGCGGUGAAAUGCGUUGAGAUCGGAAGGAACGCCCGUGGCGAAAGCGAGGUCCUGGACGUUUUCUGACGCUGAGACGCGAAAGCCAGGGGAGCGAACGGG
rnacentral:rRNA from 1 species